GUGACACCUCUGAAUUUACUUUUUACUAUCGUAAAAUUUAUAUUUUGCAUAUUAAUGAACAUUCUUAGGCCUCAAUGGUCAGUAAUAUUAUCAAACCUUUGUUCUCCAACAUUUGCAGGUCCAUGGAGUCUUCAACCUUGCAGUCUGAUUGAGAAAGAAUUCAUCUGCGAGAAAGAUUCGUCUUCAUACCGCGGUGAUGGCUGUGAAAGUGCCACAAACUACAACAAUACUGGUUUAGAACAGACUGGCAGAAACGACCUCAAUGAAUAUAUCCCGGACAUGACAGUGUGCGACGAUUGCAUGGCCAGUAAGACAACCUGUGGGAAUAUCCGAUGCGGCAUCCCUGACCAAUACCGCUGUGGGCUGAUCUACUCCCCCGGGUACCCACACGCCUU